UACGUAGGGUGCAGGCGUUAAUCGGAAUUACUGGGCGUAAAGCGUGCGCAGGCGGUCUUUUAAGUCAGAUGUGAAAUCCCCCGGGCUUAACCUGGGAACUGCGUUUGAAACUGGAAGGCUAGAGUGUGGCAGAGGGGGGUGGAAUUCCACGUGUAGCAGUGAAAUGCGUAGAGAUGUGGAGGAACACCGAUGGCGAAGGCAGCCCCCCUGGGCUAACACUGACGCCUCAUGCACGAAAGCGUGGGGAGC
rnacentral:rRNA from 1 species